rnacentral:rRNA from 1 species
GGCGGAACGGGUGAGUAACACGUGGGUAACCUGCCCAUAAGAGGGGGGAUAACAUCCGGAAACGGGUGCUAAUACCGCAUAGUUUUCUUGAUCGCAUGAUCGGGAAAGGAAAGACGGCCUUUGUGCUGUCGCUUAUGGAUGGACCCGCGGCGUAUUAGUUAGUUGGUGAGGUAACGGCUCACCAAGACGAUGAUACGUAGCCGACCUGAGAGGGUGAUCGGCCACAUUGGGACUGAGACACGGCCCAAACUCCUACGGGAGGCAGCAGUAGGGAAUCUUCCGCAAUGGACGAAAGUCUGACGGAGCAACGCCGCGUGAGUGAAGAAAAGGUUCUCGGAUCGUAAAACUCUGUUGUCAGAGAAGAACAAGUUGGAGAGUAACUGCUCCAGCCUUGACGGUAUCUGACCAGAAAGCCACGGCUAACUACGUGCCAGCCGCGGC